rnacentral:rRNA from 1 species
UGAGGAAUAUUGGUCAAUGGUCGGGAGACUGAACCAGCCAAGCCGCGUGAGGGAUGAAGGUACAGAGUAUCGUAAACCUCUUUUGUCAGGGAACAAAAGGCGCCACGCGUGGCGCUCCGAGUGUACCUGAAGAAAAAGCAUCGGCUAACUCCGUGCCAGCAGCCGCGGUAAUACGGAGGAUGCGAGCGUUAUCCGGAUUUAUUGGGUUUAAAGGGUGCGUAGGCGGCGAGUUAAGUCAGCGGUAAAAGCCCGGGGCUCAACCCCGGCCCGCCGUUGAACUGGCUUGCUUGAGUUGGAGAGAAGUAGGCGGAAUGCGCGGUGUAGCGGUGAAAUGCUUAGAUAUCGCGCAGAACUCCGAUUGCGAAGGCAGCCUACCGGUGUGCCACUGACGCUGAGGCACGAAAGCGUGGGGAUCGAACAGGAUUAGAUACC